CUAGAGAAAGAGGAAUACACCCCCUCCUUAAUGAU
rnacentral:tRNA from 1 species